rnacentral:rRNA from 1 species
GGUUAAGCGACUAAGCGUACACGGUGGAUGCCCUGGCAGUCAGAGGCGAUGAAGGACGUGCUAAUCUGCGAUAAGCGUCGGUAAGGUGAUAUGAACCGUUAUAACCGGCGAUUUCCGAAUGGGGAAACCCAGUGUGAUUCGUCACACUAUCAUUAACUGAAUCCAUAGGUUAAUGAGGCGAACCGGGGGAACUGAAACAUCUAAGUACCCCGAGGAAAAGAAAUCAACCGAGAUUCCCCCAGUAGCGGCGAGCGAACGGGGAGGAGCCCAGAGCCUGAAUCAGUGUGUGUGUUAGUGGAAGCGUCUGGAAAGGCGCGCGAUACAGGGUGACAGCCCCGUACACAAAAAUGCACAUACUGUGAGCUCGAUGAGUAGGGCGGGACACGUGGUAUCCUGUCUGAAUAUGGGGGG